CACUCUAGAGAGACUGCCAGGGAUAACCUGGAGGAAGGUGGGGAUGACGUCAAAUCAUCAUGCCCCUUAUGCUUAGGGCUACACACGUGCUACAAUGGGUAGUACAGAGGGUUGCCAAGCCGUAAGGUGGAGCUAAUCCCUUAAAGCUACUCUCAGUUCGGAUUGUAGGCUGAAACUCGCCUACAUGAAGCUGGAGUUACUAGUAAUCGCAGAUCAGACUGCUGCGGUGAAUGCGUUCCCGGGUCUUGUACACACCGCCCGUCACACCACGGGAGUUGGAGACGCCCGAAGCCGAUUAUCUAACCUUUUGGAAGAAGUCGUCGAAGGUGGAAGCAAUAACUGGGGU
rnacentral:rRNA from 1 species